UACCUGCAGCCCAAGUGGUGCUCGUUAUUAUUGGGUCUAAAACGUCCGUAGUCGGCUGAGUAGAUGCCCGGGUAAAUCGCAGCGCUUAACGUUGCGAAUUCCGGGUAGACCGCUCGGCUAGGGAGUGGGAGAGGUGCGAGGUACUCUGAGGGUAGGGGUAAAAUCCUGUAAUCCUUGGGGGACCACCAGUGGCGAAGGCGGCUUGCCAGAACGCGCUCGACGGUGAGGGAUGAAAGCUGGGGGAGCAAACCGG
rnacentral:rRNA from 1 species